rfam:Oryza sativa (indica cultivar-group) chromosome 1, whole genome shotgun sequence.
AAUAAGCACAACCAUAAGUUUUCUUGUCCAACUUUAAUCGUUCGUCUUAUUUAUUUUUUUAUGAUUAAUAUUUUAAUUGUUAUUAGAUUAUAAAACAUGGAUAGUAUUUUAUGCGUGACUUAUGUUUUUUAGUUUUUUUAAAAAAAAUUAAAUAAGAUGAACGAUUAAAGUUGGAUACGGAAACUUAUGGCUGCGCUUAUU